UACGAAGGGGGCUAGCGUUGCUCGGAAUCACUGGGCGUAAAGGGUGCGUAGGCGGGUCUUUUAAGUCAGGGGUGAAAUCCUGGAGCUCAACUCCAGAACUGCCUUUGAUACUGAGGAUCUUGAGUUCGGGAGAGGUGAGUGGAACUGCGAGUGUAGAGGUGAAAUUCGUAGAUAUUCGCAAGAACACCAAUUGCGAAGGCAGCUUACUACCCGAAUAUUGACACUGAGGCACGAAAGCGUGGGGAUCAAACAGG
rnacentral:rRNA from 1 species